rnacentral:rRNA from 1 species
UACGUAGGGUGCGAGCGUUAAUCGGAAUUACUGGGCGUAAAGCGUGCGCAGGCGGUUCGUUGUGUCGGCGGUGAAAGCCCCGGGCUCAACCUGGGAAUGGCCGUUGAAACUGGCGAACUGGAGUGUGGCAGAGGGGGGUGGAAUUCCGCGUGUAGCAGUGAAAUGCGCAGAUAUCAGGAGGAACACCGGUGGCGAAGGCGGGUCUCUGGGCCGAUACUGACGCUGAGGAGCGAAAGCGUGGGGAGCGAACAGG